CCUUACACAUGCAGUCGAGCGGUAACAGGGGGUGCUUGCACCCCGCUGACGAGCGGCGGACGGGUGAGUAAUGCAUAGGAAUCUGCCCAGUAGUGGGGGAUAGCCCGGGGAAACCCGGAUUAAUACCGCAUACGCCCUUUGGGGGAAAGCAGGGGAUCUUCGGACCUUGCGCUAUUGGAUGAGCCUAUGUCGGAUUAGCUAGUUGGUGGGGUAAAGGCCUACCAAGGCGACGAUCCGUAGCUGGUCUGAGAGGAUGAUCAGCCACAUCGGGACUGAGACACGGCCCGAACUCCUACGGGAGGCAGCAGUGGGGAAUAUUGGACAAUGGGGGCAACCCUGAUCCAGCCAUGCCGCGUGUGUGAAGAAGGCUUUCGGGUUGUAAAGCACUUUCAGUGAGGAGGAAAACCUUCUGGUUAAUACCCAUGAGGCUUGACGUUACUCACAGAAGAAGCACCGGCUAACUCCGUGCCAGCAGCCGCGGUAAUACGGAGGGUGCAAGCGUUAAUCGGAAUUACUGGGCGUAAAGCGCGCGUAGGUGGUUUGAUAAGCGAGAUGUGAAAGCCCCGGGCUUAACCUGGGAACGGCAUUUCGAACUGUCAGGCUAGAGUGU
rnacentral:rRNA from 1 species